GUUCCUCAAAGAUGAGCAGCGGCCAUUGUAGUUCAGUGAUAAGUUACAGUGACAGUUCAUCAGAGAAGACCUCGCACAGCUCCAUAAAUGUCACUUCGUUGCCAAACACAGCAAAGCGAAGCAAGUACAACAAGAAACAAUAUUGUCUAUAUUGUAAUAAGGCCAUUUCUAAAUUGGCAAGACACCUCGAAUCCGCUCACAGUACACAGCUUGAUGUCGCAAAGGCUUUCAGUUUUAAGAAAAGAUCUCGCGAAAGAAAAGAUUUGUUACGCUCUCUUAAGAAGAGGGGAAACUUGUCUGUUUCCAAUGCCACUGUGGCAAGCAGUGGUGUUGGAGAAAUGGUUGCUUGUCGAAGACCCACUAGAGUCAGACAAUCUAAUGACUUCAGUCACUGCAAGUUUUGUCAAGGACUCUAUGCAAGAGAUAGUCUAUGGAGACAUGUCAGAAACUGCCCUCAGAAGUCUGUUGAGGUGGAGACUAGAGUUGGGCAAAAACGGAUCCACAUUGACCUACCAAAAGCUGAUACAGUUCAUGAUGCUGUUUGGAAGAUUGCUUGUGAAAUGAACCAGGAUGACAUUUCUUUAGUUGUAAGGAGUGAAAGAGACAUCCUUAGUCUUGGCGAGUCAAUGUACAAUGGCAGGAAACCAAAUGAGAAAAGAAAUGAUUACAUACGUCAAAAAAUGAGAUAGAUGGCUAGACUCUUGAUGACUGCAAGAGCUACAACACCUUUGAAGAGCACUGAAGACCUUGUUAUGCCCAGUAAUUUCCCCCACGUUAUACAAGCAGUGAGAUUUGUUGCUGGUUAUGACUUGGAUAGCAACUCAUAUAAAACCCCAUCAUUGGCUUUACAAUUGGGUCACAGUUUGGCUAAGGUUGCAGGCAUUGUGCAAUGCAAUGCCAUCAUUGCAAAUCGCAAUGCUGUUGCAGAGUCUGCCAAGCAAUUCUCCACUCUGUAUGAGAAAAGUUGGGCGGAAUCCAUUUCAAGUGCUGCACUGGGUACACUUCAUCAAGCCAAAUGGAAUAAACCACAUGUUUUGCCCUUUACACAGGAUGUGUCUCAGCUGCACAAGUUUCUUGCUACUGAGCAUGCUAAGUGCAUGAAGGACCUUGAGAAUGUGUACUUGUUUGCACGCCCAUGUGUGCUUUCCCAUUACAGAGGCUCUGACUGCUUCCGCAAGUAUUCAAAACGAUGUGGUGCAAAAAACCCAGAGUCACUCACCUCAACAAGAUUGAGGAAAUAAGUUGCCACUUUGUCAACAGUACUAAACUUAAAAGAAAGUGAAAUGGAUCAACUUGCUACCAUUCUAGGACAUGAUAUAAGGAUCCACAGGGAAUUCUAUCGGCUUCCAGAGAGUACCCUGCAGCUUGCAAAAGUUAGCAAACUGUUGAUAGCAAUGGAAAAAGGAAGACUGUCUGACCUGCAAGGGAAAGGGCUGGAUGACAUUGAGAUCAAUCCUGGAGAUGAAGUAGGCACGAGUGAUGAUGAUUCCAGUGAAUAAACCAUUGCUGACCUACAUCAACAUGAAGGCUUAAGAACUGAGACUUCUGGGGAUCGGACACUUCUGAGGCACUCGCAUGCUUCAACCACCCUGGAUCAUUUGGGGGGCACUUCUGCCUCAACCGUCUUGGACAACGUAAAUGUCAGCAACACUCAACCAAGACAUGAUUCCCAGCAGAACACAGCACUUCAAGUGGUUACAUCCCAAACUUCUUCAAAGCGCUCCACUGCAAAGCAAGCUGGGAAGGUGAGGAGCAAGUGGACAGGUAAUGAAGUGAAGGCUGUGGAGCGGCACAUGAUUCAUUUCAUAACCAGCUGCACGGUGCCAGGUAAAAGGACUGUGACUCCUGCCUCCAGGCAGAACCAAUGGCUCUGAAAGACAGAGACUGGGUUGCAAUCAAAUACUACAUUCACAACAGAAUCAUAUCAAUGAAAAGGAAGAUGAAUAGAUAGAACUAGAACAUGCCAACUGUGGCUCAGGUGCAAUUUAAUUUCUGUUGAACUUAUAAAAUUGCUCACUGUGUGCUGUUAUAAUCAGUGUCACCUUAGAUAUCCAGUGAAAAUGUUUGUAAUGGGUUUCGUUUUGAUAUUCUCAUUUUCAUUCAAGGAUUGCUAUUGAUGAUUUCUUGUACAAGCAUGCCACCUAGUUUUGACUGAAGCUGCCAUGUUGACAUGUAUUCAUGAGGGCUAUUGAUUGGUUUUUUUUUUUUUAUCUGUCACAGUUGGUUUCGUGUUUGGCUUCACGUUUGUUUUAGUGUCUCUUAUUUUGUAAUCUCGUCAUGUUUCAGUUCCCGGUCUUGUCAUGUGAUUCCCUUCUCAUCGUGUGAUCAUGCCAUAUGCUUCCCUAGUCUUGUGUUAUGUUCCUAUUGGUUGGUUUAGUUGUCAUAUCCUGAUUGGUUCCCUUGUUUUAUGUGUCUUGUUCUCAUUGGUUGUUGUAGUCAUGUGAUCCCGCUAGUCCUGUAUAAAUACUCCUCAUGUUUCCAUAGUCUCUUGUGGAGUAUUGUGAUUGUUUUCUGUAACCGCUGCUGGUGAGUUCGCUGACAAGUCUGUUCCAAGUCAUGUCUGUUCAUGGUUCCUGCUUCAGGUCUGUUCCUGCUUCAGGUCUGUUCCUGCUUCAAGUCUGUUCAUGCUUCAAGUCUGUUCCUGCUUCAAGUCUGUUCAUGCUUCAAGUCAAGUCUGUUCUGGUCAAGUCAUUGUUUAUGUUGUAUCUGUUCACGUUUGGAAAUAAACUGCACAUGGGUUCAUCACUUCAACUUGCCUUCAGUGGACCUACGUUACAUUAUCCCCACCCUAUAGACACUAUUUUUUUUUUCUUACUACUUCAGGAUCAUAUCAUAAUGCAUUGUUUCAAGUAACUGACAUAAUUUCUUUCAUAGAAUAAGGUUUAAAAGUAUAUGUAAUCUAUACCCUCAGUGUCAACAAGCAAGUACUUAAAGGGAUUGUUACUUUCACACAUAUUUCCCAGGUUUUCAGUGUUGCUUUGUUUUUGCACAAGUUGUUUAAUGUGCUCUUUCAGCUAUUGAAAAAUCCUUAUGAGUGGGUGUUACUUUUA